rnacentral:rRNA from 1 species
UACAGAGGUCCCGAGCGUUGUUCGGAUUCACUGGGCGUAAAGGGUGCGUAGGUGGCGCGCUAAGUCGGGUGUGAAAUUUCGGAGCUUAACUCCGAAACUGCAUUCGAUACUGGCGUGCUUGAGGACUGGAGAGGAGACUGGAAUUCAUGGUGUAGCAGUGAAAUGCGUAGAGAUCAUGAGGAAGACCAGUGGUGAAGGCGGGUCUCUGGACAGUUCCUGACACUGAGACACGAAGGCCAGGGGAGCAAACGGG